GCGCCAGUGGUUAGUGGUAAAUCCAUCGUUGCCAUCGAUGGCCCGCGUUCGAUUCGCGGCUGGCGCA
rnacentral:tRNA from 1 species